GACGAACGCUGGCGGCGUGCUUAACACAUGCAAGUCGAACGGAAAGGCCCUGCUUUCGUGGGGUGCUCGAGUGGCGAACGGGUGAGUAACACGUGAGUAACCUGCCCUUGACUUUGGGAUAACUUCAGGAAACUGGGGCUAAUACCGGAUAGGAGCUCCUGCUGCAUGGUGGGGGUUGGAAAGUUUCGGCGGUUGGGGAUGGACUCGCGGCUUAUCAGCUUGUUGGUGGGGUAGUGGCUUACCAAGGCUUUGACGGGUAGCCGGCCUGAGAGGGUGACCGGCCACAGUGGGACUGAGAUACGGCCCAGACUCCUACGGGAGGCAGCAGUGGGGAAUAUUGCACAAUGGGCGGAAGCCUGAUGCAGCAACGCCGCGUGCGGGAUGACGGCCUUCGGGUUGUAAACCGCUUUCGCCUGUGACGAAGCGUGAGUGACGGUAAUGGGUAAAGAAGCACCGGCUAACUACGUG
rnacentral:rRNA from 1 species